UGUUAACAAUUUUAUCCAUUUCUACGGUUAAAAACUGGCAUGGCUAACGGAUAACCAAACAAUUACAUGUUGCAUACCACUUGUACUUUAUGUUGACGCACAUGAACUAAUUUUUAAUAGUAGAAAUGAAUGAAAUUUUAACA
rfam:Gossypium raimondii Chr08_contig_178, whole genome shotgun sequence.